rnacentral:rRNA from 1 species
GUGCCAGCCGCCGCGGUAACACCGGCAGCCCGAGUGAUGGCCGCUUUUAUUGGGCCUAAAGCGUCCGUAGCCGGCCGUUCAGGUCCGUCGGGAAAUCCACUGGCUCAACCAGUGGGCGUCCGGCGGAAACCGAUCGGCUUGGGACAGGGAGACCAGAGGGGUACGUCCGGGGUAGGAGUGAAAUCCUGUAAUCCUGGACGGACCACCGAUGGCGAAAGCACUUCGAGAAAACGGAUCCGACAGUGAGGGACGAAAGCCAGGGUCUCCAACCGGAUUAGAAACCCUAGUAGUCC